rnacentral:rRNA from 1 species
AUUGAACGCUGGCGGCAUGCCUUACACAUGCAAGUCGAACGGUAACAGGGUGCUUGCACCGCUGACGAGUGGCGAACGGGUGAGUAAUGCGUCGGAACGUGCCGAGUAGUGGGGGAUGACGCAGCGAAAGUUGUGCUAAUACCGCAUACGUACUGAGGUAGAAAGUGGGGGACCUUCGGGCCUCACGCUAUUCGAGCGGCCGACGUCUGAUUAGCUAGUAGGUGAGGUAAAGGCUCACCCAGGCGACGAUCAGUAGCGGGUCUGAGAGGAUGAUCCGCCACACUGGGACUGAGACACGGCCCAGACUCCUACGGGAGGCAGCAGCUAAGAAUCUUCCGCAAUGGGCGAAAGCAUGACGGAGCGACGCCGCGUGGACGAAGAAGGCCGCAAGGUUGUAAAGUCCUUUUGCAGACGAAGAAUAAGGCUCGGAGCGGAAAGCCGGGCUGAUGACGUUAGUCUGCGAAUAAGCCCCGGCCAAUUACGUGCCAGCCGCCGCGGUAAAAC